rnacentral:rRNA from 1 species
AUACGGAGGGGACAAGCGUUAUUCGGAAUCACUGGGCGUAAAGGACGCGUAGGCGGGUUAUUAAGUCGGGUGUGAAAUCCAAUGGCUCAACCAUUGAACUGCAUUCGAAACUGAUAACCUAGAGUAUGGAAGGGGCAGGUGGAAUUAGUGGUGUAGGGGUAAAAUCCGUAGAUAUCACUAGGAAUACCGAAAGCGAAGGCGACCUGCUGGGACAUUACUGACGCUAAGGCGUGAAAGCGUGGGGAGCAAACGGGAUUAGAAACCCUAGUAGUCC